AUGGAGGGCGCAUGGCAGGAGCGUCUGCAUGGUUCUUGAGAGCUGCGUAAGCAGUACAGCAGCACAAGGAUGGAGGACAAUGGCUGCGCUCAGCUGAGCUCCUCCUCCUCAUCAAUGAUCAGUUUGUAUUUGUCCAUACCUCUCAUGGCCUUCUUCCCUGGCUUCCAGUUCCAGAUGGCUUGGUGAGGCUUGGACAGAAACCGGCAAGUCAGAAAUCGGCAAUGGUGAGCUCCUACAGGAGCCUA
rnacentral:sRNA from 1 species